UGUUAAGAGAAGAAAUAUUAAUCUUCAAUGAAGAUGAAUUCAUACAGUAUCUAUAAUAAUAAAGCUGAGUUUUCUCUCACCUCAGCCCUCCACAUCAGUACAUAGCAUGAGGCUUUUGUUGACACCUGUCCAAAAAGCUUAGCCAAUCAAAACCUUUGGCAACAAACAGGUCAUUCAGUAUUGAGAUGCGUUUUCUCCUACGCUUCGUUUUCUCUAAUCAAAACUGUAGUCUAUCAUCUCGCUUCAUAUCCUUCUCGAUGGCUCAGCCUUUCCUGUCACCUCUUUCCAAAACUCCCCUUUCGCUUUGAUUUUCUUCAGGCCCUAACCAGCAAUCGAGCAAUAUAUCAGGUUUCCUUUCUAAAUCUAAUACCCACCGCUCUACACUUCAUUCCGUCGAAACACUUUCCAGGGUUUCUGUUUUGUUGUGUGAUCAUGAGACUCAAGAGAUUGAAGGAGCGACCUUAUAUGAUUCUAUGUCUACGAUGAGGAUGAGUUUGAUGACCCCAAAACAAAUAUGAAACAAACGAUGAUAUUUAUUGAUUACCGCCCAAGCUUCACUCUUUGUUUUGUUUUGUUGUGUUUUUUUCCUUUGUUACACUCAUGCUGAUUACUUCCUAAUUAAUUGAGUUCUCUGUGGUUUAUUAUUUUUUAUGUGUGGAAAGGAUCUCACUUUGAGUAAUAGCUCCAGCAAAAGGUACAACUUCUCUUUUGAAUUUGAUACUUGAUCUGCUUUCAUUACUGGGACUCCAAAUCAACUUAUAUUAGGCUAACAAUCUCUCUUGCCUGUUCAAUUGCUAUUAAUCUCGAUUCUGGAGAGUUUCUCGUCGUCAAACAGGUUAAUUUGAAAACUGUCUCAUUUUGAAUACUGUAAUUUUACUCUGCAAUUUGUUUUAAAAUUCCCCUCUCUCCCUGAAGUUUGAUUCUUAUGAUGAGUUUUUCGGUGAUCUGUGGGCUCUCCAAGCUCAUUCGUUCUACAUCUCAUCACCUUAAUUUGUUUAAUUACUCACGUAUUCUAUAAUUUUUUUGGGUGUUUACUCUAGCGUUAUUAUUGUGUUUUUAUUGACUGGAUUUUAGUUGCUAAUAAACAUACAUGUUUCUUUGUUGAUAUUGUCCUCCGACUUCUCUUUCAUCAUAUUAUCUUAGUUAUUUUUUCUCUACAAUGAUUUGAUUUAUUCAUGACUUUCCUACUUUUGUUCAUCAUAUUCAGAAGCUGGAAAAGAAAGUUAAGCUUCUCAAGAAUCACUCACAUCCAAAUAUAGUUGUAUUUACGCACAUUGAGAGAAUGAAACUUUGAACAUCUUCUUCCAUAUCAUACUAUAUUCCAGAGCGUCGAAAACCAUGGCGAAUCCUCAAGUUCUUUUGUAUGAGUUGAACGUUGAUUGGCGCAAGGAAAUUGCAGAGGCCAAACGUCGGUACACAGCAACAUCCUUUAUAACGUAUGUGUUUUUAACAACUUAGCCACUACCGACCACCACUUCCAGACUUUGGAGGUCAUGGAAGGGAUAACCAGCCUGGUGAUGACAUGCUUGGAGCUGGAGCGGUUAAAACCAAUCCUACUGAUAGGUUUAACAGUGCAUCGCCUGAGAAAAUACCUGAUGGUGAUAACGCUGGAAUGCUUUAAGAAAGUGCUGUCGGCCCUGCUCUUCCAACUGUUCUGUCUCGAUAAAUCAACAGAUAAGAAAUUAAGAAUGAACCACUAAUGGAGGAGAAGGUUGAAGGGAAGAAGCCACACGUGACUUAACUUCACAGGCUUAGGAGAGCCAAAGGUCAGAAUGGACAACCUCUACUCUUUCGCAUUUCUGUUUUUAAAUGUUUCCACUUUGACUUUGUCUACUGUUUCCUGAAAUUAAACCAGCUGCUGGUUGUGUUUUAACUUUUAGUUGUAGUUGUUACAAGGGAAAGGUAUUCGUUAUAUGUUCAUAAAUAAAAGUUCCUUUAAAUCCUCUA